AUGAGCUAUUUUUUCGAACUGGGAUACGGCCUAGGGUUGUUCAUUAUCAUUUUCAUCUGUGUGGGUAUCGUCGGUUGCUGUGUAGCUCUCUGCUGCUGCUGUUGCAAGAAAAGAAACCCGCAAAGGCACCAAAAUGUGACUACAGUAGUGUACACACAUCCGUCUUCUUCCCAAAUACCCGUUUCUGGGCCUCAGCCACAGUACCCAGCUUACCAGCCAGUACCUCAGCAAGCACACGGCGUACCUUACAUGACAGCACCUCCACCAUCAUACCAGGAAGCUACUGAUCCAGCUCUCUUGCCACACAACCCAGGGAUGAUGUUCCUCCACCCCAGUCAGCCUUCUGGGCACUCAGACGUGCACACACAGUUGCCCUACAAUCCUGCUUUUUACCCAAACACAGCCUCAUUUAACCAACCUGUCAAUAAGUACUGAGUACCACUAGAUGGCGCCACCGUGUUAUGCAUUCCAUUGCAUUCCGCCACCUUCUUAUGCAUUCCAAACAGUCACAAAAGGGUCAAACCUGCUGAUGGUGCUGUAGCUGUGAAGAAAAAUGCCCUCAUAAAUAAUGUUUUGUUUACGUAUUGCUUGCAAUCAAUCGAUAUAGGAUUGAUUUACACAAUUGUUGGUCAAUCCACACACAAAGCUUAAGAAAUGAAACUAUUGCCGUGGCCUUGAUUAUUGAUACUGUUAAACAUCACUAUUUAAGGUCAGUAAAGGUCAGGUCAGUAUAGAACAGCUUUUAUGCACUGUGUAAAAAAUAUUAUUGAUGUCUGUCUGCCUGUGCUAAAGUGAGUUAUGAUAUGGAGAUUUGUAGUUUGGUAUGAUUGUGUCAAUUAUGGCUAAAACAUGUACCGUAUUCUGUAUGUCUGCAGCAUGGGAGGUGGGGCUUGAUGGAAAUUCUCAUAUCAUGAAGGAUCAAAAGCCAAAUACUUUUCUACUGUUUUUUAAUAGGUUUGUAAAACACAAGCAUUAUGUCUUAAAUAGUUCCCAUAAUGCAAUAAAAAUGUUAUUCCCUGCAGUGGGAUGAAACUGCAGUGUUCUGUUCCCGUUCUUCCUUUGGGAUCAUGUGUGGUUGAAUAGCUUUAGUGGGUGUGCUUGCAUUUAAUCCCAUAAUGUCCAGGGCCACUCCCUCUUAUUGCAUCCCCCGCUGUCCAUUAAUCAAUACAGUAUUAGUGCUGACCCCACAAAAUUCCUUUUCCUCUUUCUUUUUUUUUGCCUUUCCUCCUGCUGUCUGGUCAAUGUAAACACAAAGACAGGGCGGUGCUCCUGUGUAUCAGAAAUUAACAUUUUGAUCUGGUUUUAGAUGAUUUAUUCAGGGCUCUUGAGUGAACCAGUGAGCGCUGCGUGGGAGCAGCUGCUGACAAAAGUCAAAACUCCCCAGUGAAUGCCGUUGCCCACAGCCAAGAUGCUCCAAAGAGAUACGUGCCAAACUCCCACACAUACUUGAAAAGACAAACACAUUUGUCACAAUAUUGAGUGUAUAUUUUGAUACAAUAAAAAACAACAACAAUUGGUUCCUUUGACAAAGAAAGUUUCAGCUAAAAAAAAGAGUCAAAAAUACUGAGCUUUGGUUUGUGCAAAUGAAUAAAGUCAGAGUGCCACUCAUGCUUGUCCUCUAAGCAGGUAAUUAAGGUCAUUCCACAGUUUAAACCUGUUAAAGGAGUUUCUGUUCAUUUCUCAUGACAACUAAACCAAUAUUUUACAUGGGCAGAUUUGUCUUUGCAAAAAUAUGCUUAAAUAUUACAUUAAAUAGCACCAGUUUUAAAAUAUGCAUUCAGUAUUUUGUGAAAUUUCUAAUGAGUUAAUUAAAAAAAACAACUUUUUGGUCAUUUUUUGUUUAAUAGACACAUUUUAUUUAUUUAUUUACAAUGGCCUGAUUAUUUGUCAGAAUUCCAUUAGAUUUCUAUUUAGUUUAUUUGAGAUUGUGUCCACUAACUAGAACUGUCUUUGAGAAAAUAAGUUUUUCCUUGUUUGUAACACUAUUAUAUCUGUAUCAGUCUUUUUCUGUUGGCAUAUUUGGAUUAGUUUAAGUUUGAAAGUUAUGUCUUAAUAUAAAGUGUGAACAGUGAGAACUUCUCUUUCAAUUACAUUUCUCUAACCUGACUGAGCUAUUACAUCAGCUGUGUGUUUUGACGAAUAUUCACGUUUAUUAUCUAUAAAUCUUAGUUUAAAAAAAUAAAAAUAAUCGGACGUCAUCCUUAAACGCGUCCAUCUAGGAACCGUUACUAAUUACCCGGUACAUUUACAGGUUGACCCGCAAAAGCGAUUCAGUCAGUUUUGGUAUAUAUUACUUUAUUAAAGAUUAAG
rnacentral:lncRNA from 1 species